UACGUAGGAUCCAAGCGUUAUCCGGAAUUACUGGGCGUAAAGGGUGCGUAGGUGGUUUGUUAAGUCUGAUGUGAAAUCCCCGGGCUCAACCUGGGAAUGGCAUUGGAUACUGGCUCGCUAGAGUGCGGUAGAGGGUGGUGGAAUUCCCGGUGUAGCAGUGAAAUGCGUAGAGAUCGGGAGGAACAUCUGUGGCGAAGGCGGCCACCUGGACCAGCACUGACACUGAGGCACGAAAGCGUGGGGAGCAAACAGG
rnacentral:rRNA from 1 species